UGUUAAAAUUUUUAUCCGUUUUUACUAUUAAAAAUUGGUUCUUGUACUUCAGCAUAAUAUACAUGUGAUACGUCAAGCGUCACUAUUUGAUUAUUUUGUCAGUCACAUAAUUUUUGACAGUACAAAGAAAUGAGAUUUUUAACA
rfam:Gossypium hirsutum cultivar TM-1 chromosome 25, whole genome shotgun sequence